rnacentral:rRNA from 1 species
CGGUAAUUCCAGCUCCAAUAGCGUAUACUAAAGUUGUUGCAGUUAAAAAGCUCGUAGUUGGAUUUCUGCGGGGACGGAGCGGCCGGACGCAACUUGCGUCUCGAGCUAGCGCUUUCCCCGCAUCCUGCCGCGAACCGUGCUACCAUUAGCUUGGUGGCGCUGGGGAUCGGCUCGAUUACUUUGAGAAAAAUAGAGUGUUCAAAGCAGGCCACACGCCUUGAAUAAGUUAGCAUGGAAUAAUGACUAAGGACUUUGGUUCUUUUCGUUGGUGUUCGGGACUGAAGUAAUGAUUGAUAGGGACAGUUGGGGCGGUCUGUAUUCCAAAGCGAGAGGUGAAAUUCUUAGACCUUCGGAAGACAAACAGCUGCGAAAGCGUUCCGCAAGGAUGUUCCCUUUGAUCAAGAACGAAAGUUGGGGGAUCGAAGACGAUCAGAUACCGUCGUAGUCUCAACUAUAAACUAUACCAGCUAGGGAUCGGCCAACGUUUAAUUAUUCGACUUGGUCGGCACCUUAUGAGAAAUCAAAGCAUCUGGGUUCCGGGGGGAGUAUGGUCGCAAGGCUGAAACUUAAAGGAAUUGACGGAAGGGCACCACCAGGCGUGGAGCCUGUGGCUUAAUUUGACUCAACACGGGAAAACUUACCAGGUCCAGACAUAAGAAGGAUUGACAGAUUGAUAGCUCUUUCUUGAUUCUGUGGGUGGUGGUGCAUGGCCGUUUUUAGUCGGUGAAGUGAUUUGUCUGCUUAAUUGCGUUAACGGACGAGACCCCAGCCUGCUAAAUAGCGCGGCCGAGCUUUGCUCGGUGCGAGCUUCUUAGAGGGACCAUGAUGCGCGAUAGCACAAGGAAGUUUGGGGCAACAACAGGUCUGUGAUGCCCUUAGAUGUUCUGGGCCGCACACGGGCUACACUGGCGCCUGCAACGAGCAUAUCAGCUGGCCCGAGAGGGUCUUGGCUAAUCUUUGGAACCGGCGCCGUGCUUGGGAUUGACCAUUGCAAUUGUUGGUCAUGCAACGAGGAAUGCCUUGUAAACGCGAGUCAUCAGCUCGCAUUGAAUACGUCCCUGCCCUUUGUACACACCGCCCGUCGCUCCUACCGAUGAAUGUUCCGAUGAAAUUUUCGGAGAGCGCCGGAGAACAGGGCUCUGCCCUGCAGAACUGGAGGCUCAAAGUCACUUAAAUCUGAACAUUUCGAGGAAGGAGAAGUCGUAACAAGGUAGCCG